CGGCUGUUCUGGUCGCCGAUGGUCCUGGUGGCCUGCGUUCCUAUAAAUAGGUUCGGGCUUCGUUCCCAGCCAGCACGCUGCCAGCCUUAUGUUUCGCUGCGCGCACUGGACGGCGAUAUUGGAAGGCCCUGCAUGCUUGCCACCCAGUGCAGCGCCUCGACGUCUGGAUUCGAACUCUUCCAGCGGCAGCGUGCAGCGACCGUUCAUGGCGAGGCAGACGACGCAGCCGUCAUAUUCGCACCGGAAGAACAGUGAGCCGGUGGCCGCCUGGAUUCGUACAUAAGGAAGGCGCCAGUUGCACGUGUACAACGACAUGGACUUCCUUAUGUCGCAUUCCACCGGCAGAUUCACCAAUUGCCUACAACGAGAUGGACUUCUUAGUUUUCAGCAAUUCUUUCUGCUGCUAUUAGUACUACGAGUGUACUGGUCUUAAAGCCCAGAGGAGCGUGUCGCGUGAGAAGAGGUGCUAAUGAUAAAAAAACUCAAUGCGUUGCUUUCCAGAGAUAAUGACCAGCAGUUCCUUGCUUCAUUGAGGUAUAUUCGUCGCAUUAUCUUAAGCUGUUCUUAAUUAAUUACUGCAGUGCUUACCGUAUGAUUAUGUAUAGUAAUUUGAAAAAUUGGAACAGUGUUGUUUCUUGGAUACUUCUUAGUGAUGCUAUCAGUGACAUUUCUUGCAUGCUGCCAUGAUCAUGUGCAAGCAGGAAACUGAGGCUGUGAGAGCACCGAUGGGCUGCUUGGUCCGUGGUCCUAUGGGAGAUCGUGUUGCAAAAUUGGAGCGUUUCUUGACAAGAGAAAAGAACUGAAGAGAUGGUAUGAUAACAAAUGCUCUAUUAAUCUGUUUUUUAUGUAAGAAAAAUAUAAGCAUGCAUUUACCAAUAGGCAAGAUCAUCUAGCAACUUUGUAGUAUUAUUAUUGUCUAAAUAGGAACAUCGUACCUCACUAAACAUCCUGGUGAGAUGUUUAGUCAUGCAUCCUAAUUUGCAGCAUGAUUAACUCAUUUUUCCAGAUGUAAAUAGUUCCAUCUCCAAAGGCACUCCUCACUUAUUUAUUUUGUGUUCAUAUAUGGAUUUCGACAGAAUUCAGAAGCUGUUGGGUGUUUAAGUAAUCUGUCAGAAGUGUUUAUUUCCACGCAUGCAUUAUCAAAUGCUUAGUAUUUUUGCUAAUACAAUAAACUCGCUCAGUUUGAUUAAUUCAGCUCCAAUGGCGGUAUCUGUAAGACAUGGAAGUGUGCAAUUUUUCUGUAUGUGCUCUCAUAUUUAUAUCUGUUUUUUUAUGCUUUCUUGAGAAAAAAAACUAGAUCGGAGAGGGAUUACUCCCUAUAGGUCUUCUUCCAAGUUUAUUUACCCUGUUAUUUUUCCCUUUCACAUUUUUGACCUAUUUUUUGGUGUAUUCACUUGCUGUCUUCAGUGGGAAAAUUCGAUGCUUCCAUGCUUUCAGGACUCCUGCAUUUGUGUUUUUUUCCAGCUUUUUUGCAGCCUAAAAUCAAAUAAUGUGUAUAGCCAUGUUGUAUAGUUGGGGAUUAUGGCGGGCUGCACUGCCUGAGUGCACGUAGCGAGCUAGGUCGGACGGCAUGGGGCGGUAGUUUCCGAUUUGUUUGCUGGAUGGUGCAUGUUCUGAGUUUGGCAUGGUCACCGAGGAUGACUUGCCUACGUGCAUGUAUAAUACUAUAGGAAUUGAUGUGACUAUGUUAGAUGGUUCUGAUCUAUUAUUUUCUGUUCUGCAUGUGUAGGUCGUGAUGGGUGUUCAUGACGUAAUUGUUGAGGGUUUGUUAGCGUCUGUUUUGCAUAUGCGUGAGACAAGUUACAUUCCACGAUGAGCGGUGAUUAACGGUACAUUUAUGGUAUACGUGACAACUAUUGCCUAUCCAUAUAAUGCAUUCGUCAUGUUAUUCACUCCGAAAAACCAUAUGCACAUAAAAAAAGGUGGAGUUUAUAUAGCGGGUCCCAAAAAUUACAUAGACACUAUGGUGAUAAUAAAUAUAUCCUUUCCAAUUUGCCUCUAUGUACGACUUCUUUUUUCGUAAUUACAAGCUUAUCCAUGUAGCUCUCUUAUUUUAGGUUGAAAUUAUUUGAUAAAACAAAGACAACAUACAUAAACAUGAUGUAUCUACAGGGCGCAGCGUGGCGCCGCACAGGAAUAGCUAGUAGUUAUCCAUUCAUCCAGAAAGAUGAGACGAAGGGGGCUACGGGUGCUCACAGCGAUUAGAGCAUUUCGGCCAUCGGAUCGAUUUGCUUGAUGGGUUCCCGGGCGUCCGAUCGAGCGGUGGGAGGACGUCGGCCGUCGGAUCGAAUCCCCGCCCCCUGUAGCAUGGUUGAUCCCGUCUGGCUCGCACCGUCGAUUACUCCUUCCGUUUGACCGGUUUUCGCUGACCUGUGGGGUCCCGGCGGGGUGGGCCGCGUCCGUCAGCGAGUGGGUGUGCGGGUGUGGCCUGUGCGUCCAGUCGCGCGCGCGCCGGCAGUAAAUAUCCCGUGCCACCGCACGUAAAUCUUGCCCACUGCCGAGGGCUUUUACGUCUUUUCCUGUCCGGGCCGCCUGCAUGGUGGACGGUGGUUGGCUCCAUGCGGGUAUGUGGUGGGGGAGGCGGCUGGCCCGCUUCUCAUUCGCCCCCUUCGUUCCCGUCUCUCCGUCUCUCUCUCCUCUCCUCCCCGAUAACCCUAGCCACC
rnacentral:lncRNA from 1 species